UCUCCUUUUUCAAGACUCAAAGGCCAAACCAAAUCAACUGGAAACUACACAACCACCAACAAAUUUACCCAAGUAUUCUCAAACAUCAUAAAUUCGGAUGGGCAACCGGCAGCGCCCACCCCAGUGCCUUCCCCAAUGCCACCUUACCCCAGCAAGUGCUCCAUUCAGACAUACUCCAGGGAUGAAUGCAGCAUCUGCUUGUCAUGUGCAACAAAACGUGGCCACUUGUAAACUGUUUCACUGUACACAUUUUUAUUCAGAGCAUAUAAGCAAAAGAAACGAAUCCAUUGUAUUAUCAUGUGUAAAUACAACUCUUUCAAAUACUA